rnacentral:lncRNA from 1 species
AUGAAGAGGUUUGAGCACAUGUAUAAAUCUUUUUCACAUUAUUUUAUAUCAGCUGUAGUUUAUUUGAGACUUCUAAGAGAGUUUCUUCAUUUCAUAUCUGAAAGGCAAGAGAGAGUCUGCUUAAUGUUUCCUUUUGCUCUCACAGGGCAAAAACAUGUACACUUCCAACAUGCAUGUUAUUGCCACAGUCCCUGUCUACUCUCCAGUCCUGAAUCCACUCUGAAGAGAGAUCUUCUUCUGUCUCUCUGUCUAGUAAUCAGAGCACAGAGACAUCUUUAGGUCCACAGCUAAGAAACAAUUGCCACGUCCAUUAUCUGUGUCCUGGCUUUUGUGGGAAAUCUGUCCAUCCUAAAGACUGAGGAGACAUUUCUGCAAGGACCUGCCAUUUACAUAAAGUACUGUAAGGAUGCUAUAAAAUAAAACACGUCUCAGAUGACAUCCUGCCAUUAUUCACAAAUAACCAUUUCUUUCUACAACUAAUGAUGUUUUAUUAACAAGGUUCGGGAGGAGCACGUGACCUAAUUAGCACAGGUGGAGCUCACUUAAGAUAAUCAACACUAGGGUAUAAAUACCGCUGACUUACCCCUAUCCAUUGACGGUUUAUCAGCAUUCGGUUUGCACCUUUUGCCAUUAUAUGGCAGACUCAGCUUCUCUCAUUUAGAAGACGAGGUUUAUAUUGGGGAUUUUUCAGUUCUCUGGCCAAUCUGCCGGGCCCAGGAUCGCUCCUUCUCCGCCAGACACCGCCGCGAGCUCCGUGCUCCAUUGCGGCCGCUGCUCUGCUCGACCAGCCACACGCUCCUCACGACACCGAGGCUUAACCUCCCAUCUACCGGCGUCAUGUCCAAUUUUUCCCCGGCGUCCUCUUAUCUUAGGCUGUGCCUACAAUUCCUCCAAUCGGAAAGUGGACCGUACGUAAUCCCGAGGCAAACGGCGAUUAAUUCCGACGCUCCGUCCUCGCGAAGGUUAACAAAGCGGAUCUGUACGAUCUAAGUUAUUAGUCUCCCAGCAAUCCGCCAAACCUCAAUCCUGAAUCCACAACAACAGGGCGGCCAAUAUAUCGGGCAAAACUCGCAAGGCCCCAAACUCGCCUCGCUCGACUCCUCCAUUGCCCCGCGGCACACAAAAUCCGGCUCUCCUUAAGCGCUGGCUCGCAGCGGCAGGCUUCCAACGAGCCUGGGCCGCGCCGCCGAUCUCACCGCAGCAAAGCCUCACUGGCUUCCCGCUUCAACUCAACCUUUUACCGUGGCUCAUCCGGCCGCAGCGUCAUCAUGCAGCCGGGCCUCAAGCUCUUGCGCUAGCGGCACAGGCCGUGUUGCAAACUCAUUUUUAGGUAAGUCGCUAAAAGGUGUCAUUGGUUGCUGAAAGUUGUUAAAGACGUUGUGACACAAGGAUCUUGAUAUUAUUUUCAUCGUCGCAGACGACAUAGAAUACAAACAAAUUUCUAAGAUUGUCUUUAAUUUCGCGAGUAUUUUUUCCUGUAUUUUAAAUUACAUUUCACUCAGAUAAACGGAUAAAAAAGAUUGAUUUGCGAGAAAAUGAUUUCAGCUAUGUAAGGCCUACCUAAACGACUAUCGAUUAUCCACCUUUUUUCUCAACGCGGAAGUGAGCCUAUGGGUGAGACUUCCGUUUCAUUGGCCGCUAUAGGUAAAUAAUGAGGAGAAUAACAACGUGCAGUAAACAGUAAAACUGUUUGCAGUAAAAACCAGAGUGUUCUUAAUUAAGAUCAGGGCCGGCGCUAUCCAUUUGGGUGCCCUAAGCACAAAUGCUUGGCAGUGCCCCCCCCUCCCAACCAACCAACCAAAGAAAUAACUACCAUUCAGAAUUUCUUAGUUAGGUUCUCUUUACUUCCAAAAUAACUGCUGCAAAUGAAUAAUUGGAACUGAACAAUGUAAACA